AAAUCCCCGGGCUCAACCUGGGAACUGCAUUUGAGACUGUAUAGCUGGAGUACGGCAGAGGGGGAUGGAAUUCCGCGUGUAGCAGUGAAAUGCGUAGAUAUGCGGAGGAACACCGAUGGCGAAGGCAAUCCCCUGGGCCUGUACUGACGCUCAUGCACGAAGGCGUGGGGAGCAAACAGGAUUAGAUACCCUGGUAGUCCACNCCCUAAACGAUGUCAACUGGUUGUUGGGUCUUCACUGACUCAGUAACGAAGCUAACGCGUGAAGUUGACCGCCUGGGGAGUACGGCCGCAAGUUGAAACUCAAGGGAAUUGACGGGGACCCGCACAA
rnacentral:rRNA from 1 species